AUUGAACGCUGGCGGCACGCCUAACACAUGCAAGUCGAGCGGCAGCAUGCUUAGUAGCAAUACUAAGUGAUGGCGAGCGGCGGACGGGUGAGGAACACGUAGGAAUCUGCCCAAGAGAGGGGGAUAACUAAGGGAAACUUUAGCUAAUACCGCAUAAUCUCUGAGGAGAAAAGUUGCCCGUAAGGGUAGCGCUUUUGGAGGGGCCUGCGUCCGAUUAGUUAGUUGGUGAGGUAAUGGCUCACCAAGACGAUGCUCGGUAACUGGUCUGAGAGGACGACCAGUCACACUGGGACUGAGACACGGCCCAGACUCCUACGGGAGGCAGCAGUGGGGAAUCUUGGACAAUGGGGGCAACCCUGAUCCAGCGAUGCCGCGUGGGUGAAGAAGGCCUUCGGGUUGUAAAGCCCUUUAGGCUGGGAAGAAGAGUGCGGGGUGAAUAAUCCUGUACCUUGACGGUACCAGCAGAAUAAGCACCGGCAAACUCUGUGCCAGCAGCCGCCGUAA
rnacentral:rRNA from 1 species